rnacentral:rRNA from 1 species
UGUCUUGUGAAGGAUGCUGGAGGUAUCAGAAGUGCGAAUGCUGACAUGAGUAGCGUUAAAGGGGGUGAAAAGCCCCCUCGCCGUAAGCGCAAGGUUUCCUACGCAACGUUCAUCGGCGUAGGGUGAGUCGGCCCCUAAGGCGAGGCAGAGAUGCGUAGCUGAUGGGAAACAGGUCAAUAUUCCUGUACCGAUUACAAGUGCGAUGUGGGGACGGAGAAGGUUAGCUCAGCCAACUGUUGGAUAUGUUGGUUCAAGCCUGUAGUCGUGCCUGGUAGGCAAAUCCGCCGGGCUAAGAUGAGGGGUGAUAACGAGUGUGCUUGCACACGAAGUGAGUGAUACCCUGCUUCCAGGAAAAGCCACUAAGCUUCAGCUUGUAACGACCGUACCGCAAACCGACACUGGUGCGCGAGAUGAGUAUUCUAAGGCGCUUGAGAGAACUCUGGAGAAGGAACUCGGCAAAUUGACACCGUAACUUCGGGAGAAGGUGUGCCCUCAGUAGGUGAACCUGUACAAGGGGAGCCCAAAGGGGUUGCAAAGAAUAGGUGGCUGCGACUGUUUAUUAAAAACACAGCACUCUGCAAACACGAAAGUGGACGUAUAGGGUGUGACGCCUGCCCGGUGCUGGAAGAUUAAAUGAUGGGGUGCAAGCUCUUGAUUGAAGUCCCAGUAAACGGCGGCCGUAACUAUAACGGUCCUAAGGUAGCGAAAUUCCUUGUCGGGUAAGUUCCGACCUGCACGAAUGGCGUAACGAUGGCCACACUGUCUCCUCCCGAGACUCAGCGAAGUUGAAAUGUUUGUGAUGAUGCAAUCUCCCCGCGGAAAGACGGAAAGACCCCAUGAACCUUUACUGUAGCUUUGUAUUGGACUUUGAACAGAUCUGUGUAGGAUAGGUGGGAGGCUUUGAAGCCGGGACGCUAGUUUCGGUGGAGCCAACGUUGAAAUACCACCCUGGUGUGUUUGAGGUUCUAACCUAGGUCCAUUAUCUGGAUCGGGGACAGUGCAUGGUAGGCAGUUUGACUGGGGCGGUCUCCUCCCAAAGUGUAACGGAGGAGUUCGAAGGUACGCUAGUUACGGUCGGACAUCGUGACGAUAGUGCAAUGGCAUAAGCGUGCUUAACUGCGAGACUGACAAGUCGAGCAGGUGCGAAAGCAGGACAUAGUGAUCCGGUGGUUCUGUAUGGAAGGGCCAUCGCUCAACGGAUAAAAGGUACUCUGGGGAUAACAGGCUGAUA